CCUUCCAGUGGGUGUUUGACCUAAACGGACGCGGUAAAUCGUGCUAAGGUAGCUAAAUUUUGGCCCAUUAAUUGUGGGUCUUGUGAAUGGUUUGACGAGUUCCCUACUGUCUCAAAGUUGUUUUGGUGAACUUGAAUUGGAUGUGCAAAUGCAUCUGUAGGUAAGAAAGACGAGAAGACCCCGUGAAGUUAGAAAUCUUUAAUCUAGUGUGAGUUUUCAGAUUUGUUUUGAGUUUGUAGGUGUAAACUGAGGCUUUAAAAGUUGGAGAAUAUGGUUUUUAUGUUUUGGCUGGGGCAGCAAGGAGGCAAAGCUAGACCUCCUUUUUUUCGAAACGGGUGCGUUACGACCCAUGAUUUUGAAAGGAAUGAUUAGCAGAAGUAGUUACUCCGGGGAUAACAGCGUUAUCCGUCCUAAUAGUCCUUAUAGACGGGCGGGUUUGCGACCUCGAUGUUGGCUCUGGUUAUCCUGAGGCUUGCAGGAGGUCUCAAGGGUUGGUUUGU
rnacentral:rRNA from 1 species